GGGAGUAUUAAAGCUUGCUGCUGUCUUGGUCAGGGGCAUCCACAGUUUUACGUCCCUCAACACGAGCAGCCAUGACGCUGGGGCAGGAUGGGGGCGCUGAGGAGCGACGCCUAUUCGGGGCCGUGCUUUGCCUGUUAGUCGCAGAAGCCCCAGCCGCAGGGAUGGCACAUUUGUAGUCCCGUUAGGUCCUGUUAGGCCUGUGCCCAGACUGUCCCUCCAGAGCACAGUGGCGCCUAAGUGGCCCAGUGUGUCCGUCUCAUUUACCGAGCUGCCACCCUCCUGGUGCCAUAGCCAGCCACCCUCUGGCCACAGUGAGGCCGUUUCCAGCGCUCAUCACAGGACCCACAGGAAAGAGACUUGUCAGAAAUUUUCUCCCUUCAGUUUCUCUUGAAAAUACAUUAUUAAAUCAGCUGGAACAGCAGUGUGCUUCCAAGAAAACGCUGAGAAGAGAAUACGUUCUGCAACAGUGGAGACAUUCCAAGGUGGUUUCUGAGAAGAACUGCGGGCAAGGAGGGUCCCUGGGGGAACAGCAGCGCUAAUCACCAAGUCCUGAAGUCGGAAGUCGCCAUCCCAGGCACAGGCGGGAGCUGAGACUCGCACUGCCGCUGGGUGUUUGCUGCCCUCCCCACAGGUGCACUUUGCCGAACCGGGCUUCCCCUGGCGUAAGCUCUGCCUGUGCUGUCACAGUGCCCUCUGUGCCUUGGCUGGAUUGUGUUAUCGAGGACAGGGCUGAGCAAGGAGCCCUCCCGCCAAUGGCAGCGCAGAAUCCUCACCAGAGAGGGAGGCUGGUCUCGAACACCAGCUCAUCAUCGUAGGACAGCACCGGAUGCAAAACCUCCUCCCUCCCGAGCCUUCCAGCUGCCACGCUUUACUUCACAAUCUCCACUCAAAUGCCCUGUGAAGUAGAUGGCGCUACUUCAGGGGACAGACGCAGUGUCGGAGAGUAAAUGGCAGCAGCAGGGUCUCGCUGGUCUUUCUACCUAGCAUGGUUUCCUCUGAGCACUGGGAGGUAAGGAGGAAGCAACGUGCUUUAUAGUUUUGCCUGCAGCAGCCCGGGUCUCAGCCAUGUGACAUCAGAGAAUCCCAAACCCGUAGCACUUUGCACUC
ensembl:lncRNA